AGGGAAUUUUCCACAAUGGACGAAAGUCUGAUGGAGCAACGCCGCGUGCAGGAUGAAUGCCUUCGGGUUGUAAACUGCUUUUAUCUGUGACGAAUAUGACGGUAGCAGAUGAAUAAGGAUCGGCUAACUCCGUGCCAGCAGCCGCGGUCAUACGGAGGAUCCAAGCGUUAUCCGGAAUUACUGGGCGUAAAGAGUUGCGUAGGUGGCAUCGUAAGUUGGUAGUGAAAGCGUGGGGCUCAACCCCAUAUCCAUUACCAAAACUGCGGAGCUAGAGGAUGAGAGAGGUCGCUGGAAUUGCUAGUGUAGGAGUGAAAUCCGUAGAUAUUAGCAGGAACACCGAUGGCGUAGGCAGGCGACUGGCUCAUUCCUGACACUAAGGCACGAAAGCGUGGGGAGCAAA
rnacentral:rRNA from 1 species